rnacentral:rRNA from 1 species
AACGAACGCUGGCGGCAUGCCUAACACAUGCAAGUCGAACGAGACCUUCGGGACUAGUGGCGCACGGGGGCGGAGCGCGUGGGAACCUUCCCUUAGGUACGGAAUUACUCCUCUUAAGGGGUGCUAACACAGGAAAAUGUAUUCGGAUCAAAUAUUUAUCGCACUGGGUUGGGCCCGUGAUGGACUGGUUUGUUGGUAGGGUAAAAGCCUACCAAGGUGUAGAUACAUAGCUGGGCUGAGAGGCAGAUCAGCAACACUGGGACGGAGACACGGCCCAGACUCCUACGGGAGGCAGCAAUGGGGAAUAUUGCACAAUGGGCGGAAACCUGAAGCAGCAAGGCCGCGUGAGUUAUGAAGGCCUUAGGGUUGUAAAGCUCUUUUAAACGGGAUGAUAAUGACGGUACCGGGAGAAUAAGCACCGGCUAACUCCGUG